UAGGUGCAAAUUUUGGCUAGGUUUGAGCUGAAGUUGUGCGUAUUACAGGUUUUCUUGUUCUGUUGUAAAGCACAGUACUUAAUAUAGGUGUACAUAAAAUUAAUGGUUUAUGCUAAGUUCCAGGAGUUAAAAUGUAUAAAAAGUAGAAGGCCGAGCGUUGUAAGCUACAUAUUGAAUGGCCCGAGUAAAAAUAGGUAUCGUUUAUAGUAUAUAUAUACAAUCCAAAGUAUUUUAUACCGUUUCCAAAUUUUGGGGGGGUGUUAGAUAUUGGGUUAUUAGUGAAAAAACUAUUUGUAACUUAUUGAGUGUUAUGUAUUCAACUGUUCAAAAAAUUGAUACUACUUCGUUUUGACUUUCGUGUCCAUGAAUUCGAGCUUUGCUUUUUUGUUCUAUAUUGCGUUUUUGUCUGUGAUUUCACCAUUGUAUGAAGGUCGAUGAUUCCAGUGAUGGGUAAAAGUUCCUUGACCCACAGUUGCGAGCCCGAAGGCUAGUCCCGAAUGAACUCUGUUAGCUUAGGUUAGUCUCGAUAUGAGUCGAUCACCUAAGCUAUGUCUCAUUGGUAUUGUUAGUUCACGAUCAGUCAGUCAAUGCAUCAGUCGCCUAAUAUUUACAAAUGCUUCCUGGUUCAUCUUGUCUAUUUUUGUUACUUUUUUUCUGUUACUUUUUCUGAUACUUUUUUACUGAUUUUGUGGGACUUCUAUUGUCAGAUUUUUGAUUUUCUAUGUGAAAUUGUCGUGAAACGUGUUGUUGGGACUGGUUCAUGCUACCCAUGAGCACGGUGAGCGCUAUUUACCAGUCAUGGUGCGAGGGUGGUAAGUUGAGUAGUGAAAUUGAUUGUUGAGGAAGCCAUAAGGCGGACCGUCGAUUACGUGAAACGGUGAACCACCAUUCCGACGGCGAGAAGCCCAGCGUUAAUAUCACCCACUGCAUUCAAAACUUGAUGGGGUAAUCAAAUAGUGUUCCUGACGCUUCGCACAAUGCGCCAACCACCGAACCGAACUGGUGAAAACGACGGAUCAUGCCAACAGAGGUAGAAGUAGUGUCGAUCAUCGAGUGAAUGGCGUUUGAUUGAUAACGAGUCGAGAUUCAUUCCAUUCAGUUACUUGAGUUUUUUUGAACCCGGACGCGCUUGAGUCAGUACCUCUUGCAUCCCCAACACUGUUUUUACUGAAUCACCAGCGAAUCUGUCUGAAUAUAUUUGUAAACAGGUCGGGUUGGUUUUCAGAGCGAGAACCCCAACAGCAUGAUUGCCUAUCGAUCAGGUGUUUUCAUGCUGUAAUCAAGAUGUUGUUGAAAGUGUCGAGGAGUAGAAUUUCAUGAACACCCGAAUUGUUAUCAAUCAUUCCAGCCUUUUUAAGCG